GAAAUUAGGGCUCAUUUGUCCCCGUCAUUUGUUGAAGGAUGAAAUGAAUCAACGAAGUUGGUGGGACGGAUGAUUACAGUGGAGAAGAGGCGCACGAAGGCAGUAGCGCGGCUUCUGCUCCCUUGCUCGUCGCAGGCCUAGAAGAGGACUGAAAGGAAGGAAAAGCUCGCACGAGGAGGUGGAGGUGGCGAGGCUUCUUCUUCUCGUCCCGCUGCGGGGUGUGAAUGGGGAUAAGAAGCGGGUCCGCCUAGAGCGAUGCGAGCAGCAGUAGCGACGAGUCUAGAUCCUCGGUGGGUUUGCUCGACGGAAGAAGUGGAGGGUGCGAGGGGCUCGAUCAGUGGAAAGGGAGGGUUCCGGUAUGGCCGAAGAGAUGGUAAAAGGGGAAAAGGCUUCGCUCUCGGUGGUGAUCGACGAGCAAUAUGGAGAGGGACAGCCUCCCUCCGGCGAUUUGCAGGGAAAUCGAUGGGUGUUUGUUCUUGUGUUCUUGACUGGAACUGAUGCAGAAUGAAAGGAAACAUGGAGGCGUUUGGGUUUGUUUCAUUUGACAGUUCACGAAGAAGAAGAGUCCAGGAAGCCUCCACGCGCAGAUAUUAGCCUUUGCAGAUUGUUUGUUUUUUGAAGACGGCAAGACCAUGCGCAGAUAUUAGCCUUUGCAGACUGUUUGUUUUUUGAAGACUGCAGACCUAAAAAUGUCUGCUUGUUCUCUUCUUGGCGUAGAUAUGGACCAGAGUCUUUAACAUCUUCAGACAUCUUCCAGCCUAAAAAAACAUAUAAAUAAAAA